AGCUUAGUGUCUAUAGGGGUCAGGCCAGGUCACUGCUGGCCAUUGAGUCCUUUUUGCCGGUUCUGAAUCUUUAACUACCCCUCCUCCACAGUCCCACACUGCUUCCAUCCUCCUCUCCGAUGAAGAACCAGGGUUGGGCCGUCUGACCUCCACAGCUAGGAAGAAAACAUCAGAGCUGGAAGAAGCGGAUGAGAAGAGGAGUCAGUUCCAGUCCAUCAAGAUCAAUCAGUGUUCCUCCUUCAGAAAUGUGUAUGAAUUUUGCAUGCUUGAGCCUGAGGGAAAAGAGAGAUUUUUCUCUUUGGACACCCAAUCCACAGU